rnacentral:lncRNA from 1 species
UUGGGUGAUUUGGAUCUGUAUUGACUUUGUAAGAGCUUUCCAAAGUCAAGGUUUGUUUUGGAUGACUUAGGUUUUGUGAAAUAAAAUAGGGUUUAUGUUUUGGAUGAUUUUAAGAGUUUUGUAAUAGAUCUACAAGUGAAAUUUUGUGGGUUAAUGUUUAUAGUUGUAUUUAAUAUGUUUUACGAAUUUGAGCUUGAUUUAAUGAUUAAAUUGAGAGUUAUUGAGAUUUAAGUGAGUAAGGUCUUAGAAAGUAGAAUUUUAGGUCUAGUGAGGGUUUUUAAGAUUUCUUGUAAUCUACUAGUUGGAUUGGAGUGAAAUUUAUGUAAAGAUAUCAGACUUAUUUUUCUAUAUGUACAACAAUUUUGAGAUCAAUCAAAUGGUGAAAAAGAGAGAUAUUGGAUUUGGGAGAUUGGCAUCAAGGUUGGAGAAGGAGGUCGGCCAAUAUCUGAACACAUUUUUGAGGUUAAUGUCUAUUGAGUAAUUUCGAUCCUUUUCAAAAAUUAUGUGCUUGUUUUCAACUUAGUUUUUAAAAAGUGUGCAAAAUUUGAGUUAAGAUCGAUGGUUCAUUCAUUAGUUAUUGAGGUUUAAUUCUAUUGUAUAAAUUAUUAGGAUUUGGUUAGGAUUUGAUUUAGGGUUAGAAUUUAGGGUUUGAUUUAGGAUUAGGGUUUGGUUUAGGAUUUAGAAUUUGAUUGAGGAUUUAGGAUUUGAUUAGGGUUUGAUUUAGGAUUUAGAAUUUGAUUAGGAUUUAAGAUUUGGUUAGGGUUUGAUCAAGAUUUGAUUUAGGAUUUAAGAUUUUAUUUGAGUUUAUUUAAGAUUUAAGAUUUAAUUAGUUUUUGGCCUAAAAUUUGAAUGAAAUAAGAUUUUAACUAGGAUUAAAUUAAGAUUGAAUUGAGAUGUAUUUGAAAUAUGUUUAUAAUCAUUCUAAUAUUUCUUUAAGAUUUCUUAUUAUUUCUUUGAAAUUCCUUUGAGGUUUCUCUGAAUUUGAUUAAAGCUUGUUUAGCAUUAUUAGUGUUCUAUUAGAAUUAGGAUUGUAUUGUUACAAUUUCCAUUCUACCUUUGACAAGCAGAUGCCUGGAGCAUUUUCAAGUAAGAUUUCAUGUAUUACGACAAUAGUUGGAGAAGAAAAAAUCAUUGCUGGGAUUUUUGCUUUACUUUUCAAGUUGGCAGUCAAGUGACAUCAGUGCAAUU